GAUGAACGCUGGCGGCGUGCCUAAUACAUGCAAGUCGAGCGAACAGACGAGGAGCUUGCUCCUCUGACGUUAGCGGCGGACGGGUGAGUAACACGUGGAUAACCUACCUAUAAGACUGGGAUAACUUCGGGAAACCGGAGCUAAUACCGGAUAAUAUAUUGAACCGCAUGGUUCAAUAGUGAAAGACGGUUUUGCUGUCACUUAUAGAUGGAUCCGCGCCGCAUUAGCUAGUUGGUAAGGUAACGGCUUACCAAGGCGACGAUGCGUAGCCGACCUGAGAGGGUGAUCGGCCACCCUGGAACUGAGAACCGGUCCAGACCCCUCCGGGAGGCAGCAGUAGGGAAUCUUCCGCAAUGGGCGAAAGCCUGACGGAGCAACGCCGCGUGAGUGAUGAAGGUCUUCGGAUCGUAAAACUCUGUUAUUAGGGAAGAACAAAUGUGUAAGUAACUAUGCACGUCUUGACGGUACCUAAUCAGAAAGCCACGGCUAACUACGUG
rnacentral:rRNA from 1 species